rnacentral:rRNA from 1 species
AGGGCACCACCAGGAGUGGAGCCUGCGGCUUAAUUUGACUCAACACGGGAAAACUCACCCGGCCCGGACACUGGAAGGAUUGACAGAUUGAGAGCUCUUUCUUGAUUCAGUGGGUGGUGGUGCAUGGCCGUUCUUAGUUGGUGGAGUGAUUUGUCUGGUUAAUUCCGGUAACGAACGAGACUCUAGCCUAUUAAAUAGAUCGUUGGCUUACAAACGCCGGCGAGACUUCUUAGAGGGACAGGCGGCGAUUCAGCCGCACGAAACAGAGCAAUAACAGGUCUGUGAUGCCCUUAGAUGUCCGGGGCCGCACGCGCGCUACACUGAAGUGAUCAGCGUGCAUUUUGAAACCUACUCUGUCAAGAGUGGGGAACCCAAUGAACCUUCUUCGUGAUUGGGAUAGGGGAUUGUAAUUAUUCCCCUUGAACGAGGAAUUCCCAGUAAGCGCGAAUCAUAAGUUUGCGCUGAUUACGUCCCUGCCCUUUGUACACACCGCCCCGUCGCUACUACCGAUUGAAUGUU